rnacentral:rRNA from 2 species
GGGGAAUAUUGCGCAAUGGGGGAAACCCUGACGCAGCAAUACCGCGUGAGUGAAGAAGGUUUUCGGAUCGUAAAGCUCUGUUAUUGGGGAAGAAAAAAAGACGGUACCCCUUGAAUAAGCCACGGCUAACUACGUGCCAGCAGCCGCGGUAAUACGUAGGUGGCAAGCGUUGUCCGGAUUUACUGGGUGUAAAGGGCGUGUAGCCGGGAAGGUAAGUCAGAUGUGAAAUCUGGGGGCUCAACCUCCAAACUGCAUUUGAAACUACUUUUCUUGAGUAUCGGAGAGGUAAUCGGAAUUCCUUGUGUAGCGGUGAAAUGCGUAGAUAUUAGGAGGAACACCGGUGGCGAAGGCGGCUUGCUGGACAAAUACUGACGCUGAGGUGCGAAAGCGUGGGGAGCAAACA